rnacentral:lncRNA from 1 species
AGCACUAUUGAAGAGAGCGAGUCAGGGGAGACAUUCCAGCUCAAUUCCAGCUCGGUUUCAUCAUGCUUACAACUACCAGUCAUUCUGAGAGGAGAUAGAAUCUCAUUGUGGCUUGUAUUUGCAUUUCUCUGGGCUAAAGAUGAAAUGAAAACAUAGACGUCGUCAUCAUGAAUAGUCCUCCUGAUCCUGAUUGUCACCGAAAAUAAUUCCCAAGACAGCUGAAGAGGCCUUCGGGUUCAGGUUCCGCCCAUCCAUCCAUCUGCCCCACCCUUCAUUCUUGCUUCGUUUCCAAAGAAGAGAAGGAAGAAGAGAGAAGGGAUUAAGCAGAGGCCUGGGCACCACGGGUCCCCUCUGGCAGUGGGCAGAGUCACAGGGCGGAAGCAAGUUGUCUUUCUUCCUGCCCAGCUUCAAAUGCAGCCGGAGAGAGGAGCUAGCUGGGAACUUGAACAUCUGCAGAAAGCCUGGAUACUUCCUUCUCUCUUUCUUCUCCCAUGUGGCAGGCAGGGCAGGGCUUCCUCUUUGCCUGUGCCUGAGCUUCUGGAUGGGGUCAGAGGCUGAGGACUAAAGGCUGCCCAGUGGUGGUGGUGACAAAGUCAGCACUUCCCUUUGUUAGCCUUUGGAUGCUGUGACAAAGCCCCAGAGACCUGACUUGGAGGAGCAAGGUCAAGGUUGGCUAGAUCCAUUGCUUUUAGGUAUGGGAUGAUGCUAAACAUCAGGACACCUGGACCAUCUGGUAGAGGAUGCUGCUGCCGUUGUGGUAGCUAGGAAACAGGAAGACAGGAGGCAAGAGCAUGCUCUCUGUGAUCCUCUUCUCCAAGCAGUCUGCAUCUCUGAGCUCCUAACACCUCCCCCUAGUGCUGUUGAAUGAUGGGUAUAUCCAUGCAACCACUGAUUAGGUCAGGGCCUCCAUGGCUUGCUCAUCUCUCAACAGUGUCACCAGUUAGGGUCUGCUCCUUCAAUACUGGGACCUUUCAGAGAGCACACGUAGUGACCAUCUUAACACCACCAAAACUUUGCUCUCAUUCCUUCUUGUCUCCAGAGUGAUUGAACCAACAGAGGCAUCAAGGAGUCAUUUCCUGUUACAUAGAAGGGCAUCAUAUUUUCUCAGGAUUUUUCUUUACCCUCAGCUACUUUUGUAGGCAAAGAUAAUAGCCCUCUGUUUCACUGAGUGCUUCGAUUUCUUUUUAUAUCAUAAGUAGGUUGCUGAUACACUAUGUGUUGACUAAUCAUAUCUUUUCUUUUGUGAAUUACAUUCAUGGCUUUAGCUCACUUUGGAGUUUUAAGUUAGAUUUUAAUGUCUUUAAUAAAAAAUAUACUCGUCUGC